rnacentral:rRNA from 1 species
UAAGGAAUAUUGCGCAAUGGGGGAAACCCUGACGCAGCAACGCCGCGUGGAGGAUGACACUUUUCGGAGCGUAAACUCCUUUUAUCAGGAAAGAAUAAUGACGGUACCUGAUGAAUAAGCACCGGCUAACUCCGUGCCAGCAGCCGCGGUAAUACGGGGGGUGCAAGCGUUACUCCGAAUCACUGGGCGUAAAGGACGCGUAGGCGGAUUAUCAAGUCUUUUGUGAAAUCUAGUGGCUUAACCACUAAACUGCUUAGGAAACUGAUAGUCUAGAGUAGGGGAGAGGUAGAUGGAAUUCUUGGUGUAGGGGUAAAAUCCGUAGAGAUCAAGAAGAAUACCCAUUGCGAAAGCGAUCUGCUGGAACCUAACUGACGCUGAGGCGUGAAAGCGUGGGUAGCAAACAGG